AAAGCCUCUAGCGAGCUGGUACAUGGCCCGUACCCCAAACCGACACAGGUGGUCAGGUAGAGAAUACUAAGGCGAUCGAGAGAACUGUGGUUAAGGAACUCGGCAAAAUGCCCCCGUAACUUCGGGAGAAGGGGGACCAGUCCUGGUGACGACAUUUACUGUCUGAGCUGGGGUUGGUCGCAGAGACCAGAGAGAAGCGACUGUUUACUAAAAACACAGGUCCGUGCGAAGUCGUAAGACGAUGUAUACGGACUGACGCCUCCCCGGUGCUGGAAGGUUAAGAGGACCGGUCAGCCACUUCGGUGGCGAAGCUGAGAAUUUAAGCCCCAGUAAACGGCGGUGGUAACUAUAACCAUCCUAAGGUAGCGAAAUUCCUUGUCGGGUAAGUUCCGACCUGCACGAAUGGCGUAACGACUUCUCUGCUGUCUCAACCACAGACUCGGCGAAAUUGCAGUACGAGUAAAGAUGCUCGUUGCGCGCGGCAGGACGAAAAGACCCCGGGACCUUCACUAUAGCUUGGUAUUGGUGUUCGGUUCGGUUUGUGUAGGAUAGGUGGGAGACUGUGAAACUCGCACGCCAGUGUGGGUGGAGUCAUUGUUGAAAUACCACUCUGACCGUAUUGGACAUCUAACCUCGGACCAUGAUCUGGUUCAGGGACAGUGCCUGGUGGGUAGUUUAACUGGGGCGGUUGCCUCCUAAAAAGUAACGGAGGCGCCCAAAGGUUCCCUCAGCCUGGUUGGCAAUCAGGUGUUGAGUGUAAGUGCACAAGGGAGCUUGACUGUGAGACGUACAUGUCGAGCAGGGACGAAAGUCGGGACUAGUGAUCCGGCACCGGCAAGUGGAAGCGGUGUCGCUCAACGGAUAAAAGGUACCCCGGGGAUAACAGGCUGAUCUUCCCCAAGAGUCCAUAUCGACGGGAUGGUUUGGCACCUCGAUGUCGGCUCGUCGCAUCCUGGGGCUGGAGUAGGUCCCAAGGGCUGGGCUGUUCGCCCAUUAAAGCGGCACGCGAGCUGGGUUUAGAACGUCGUGAGACAGUUCGGUCUCUAUCCGCCGCGCGCGUAAGAAACUUGAGGAAACCUGUCCCUAGUACGAGAGGACCGGGACGGACGAACCUCUGGUGUGCCAGUUGUUCCACCAGGAGCACCGCUGGUUAGCUACGUUCGGAAGGGAUAACCGCUGAAAGCAUCUAAGCGGGAAGCCUGUUCCAAGAUGAGGUUUCUCACCACCUAGCGUGGUUAAGGCCCCCCACAGACCAUGGGGUUGAUAGGUCAGAACUGUAAGCACAGCAAUGUGUUCAGGUGACUGGUACUAAUCGGCCGAGGACUUACAAC
rnacentral:rRNA from 1 species